GAUGAACGCUGGCGGCGUGCCUAAUACAUGCAAGUCGAGCGAACGGACGAGAAGCUUGCUUCUCUGAUGUUAGCGGCGGACGGGUGAGUAACACGUGGAUAACCUACCGAUAAGACUGGGAUAACUUCGGGAAACCGGAGAUAAUACCGGAUAAUAAUUUGAACCGCAUGGUUCAAAAGUGAAAGACGGUCUUGCUGUCACUUAUAGAUGGAUCCGCGCUGCAUUAGCUAGUUGGUAAGUUAACGGCUUACCACGGCAACGAUGCAUAGCCGACCGGAGAGGGUGACCGGCAACCCUGGAACUGAAACACGGUCCAGACUCCUACGGAAGGAAGCAGUAGGGGAUCUUGCGCAAUGGGGGAAAGCCUGACGGAGCAACGCCGCGGAGUUGAUGAAGGUCUCCGGAUCGUAAAACCCUGUUAUUAGGGAAGAACAUAUUUGUAAGUAACUGUGCACAUCUUGACGGUACCUAAUCAGAAAGCCACGGCUAACUACGUG
rnacentral:rRNA from 1 species